GACGAACGCUGGCGGCGUGCUUAACACAUGCGAGUCGAGCGGUAAGGCCCUUUCGGGGGUACACGAGCGGCGAACGGGUGAGUAACACGUGGGAACCUUCCUAGGGGUACGGAACAACUCAGGGAAACUUGAGCUAAUACCGUAUACGUCCGUAAGGAGAAAGAUUCAUCGCCCCUAGACGGGCCCGCGUCGGAUUAGCUAGUUGGUGGGGGUAACGGCCUACCAAGGCGACGAUCCGUAGCUGAUCUGAGGGGGANNAUCAGCCACACUGGGACUGAGACACGGCCCAGACUCCUACGGGAGGCAGCAGUGGGGAAUCUUGGACAAUGGGCGGCAAGCCUGAUCCAGCCAUGCCGCGUGAGUGAAGAAGGCCUUAGGUUGUAGAGCUCUUUUACCUAGGGACGAAUAAUGGCGGUACCU
rnacentral:rRNA from 1 species